AUUGAACGCUGGCGGCAUGCCUUACACAUGCAAGUCGAACGGCAGCACGGGUGCUUGCACCUGGUGGCGAGUGGCGAACGGGUGAGUAAUACAUCGGAACAUGUCCUGUAGUGGGGGAUAGCCCGGCGAAAGCCGGAUUAAUACCGCAUACGAACUACGUAUGACAGCGGGGGACCUUCUGGCCUCGCGCUAUAGGGUUGGCCGAUGGCUGAUUAGCUAGUUGGUGGGGUAAAGGCCUACCAAGGCGACGAUCAGUAGCUGGUCUGAGAGGACGACCAGCCACACUGGGACUGAGACACGGCCCAGACUCCUACGGGAGGCAGCAGUGGGGAAUUUUGGACAAUGGGCGAAAGCCUGAUCCAGCAAUGCCGCGUGUGUGAAGAAGGCCUUCGGGUUGUAAAGCACUUUUGUCCGGAAAGAAAUCCUUGGCCCUAAUACGGUCGGGGGAUGACGGUACCGGAAGAAUAAGCACCGGCUAACUACGUG
rnacentral:rRNA from 1 species